rnacentral:rRNA from 1 species
UACGAGGGGGGCAAGCGUUGUUCGGAAUUAUUGGGCGUAAAGGGCGCGUAGGCGGUUUGACAAGUCUGAUGUGAAAUCUAUGGGCUCAACCCAUAGCCUGCAUUAGAAACUGUCGGGCUUGAGUAUGGGAGAGGUGAGUGGAAUUUCCGGUGUAGCGGCGAAAUGCGUAGAUAUCGGAAGGAACACCUGUGGCGAAAGCGGCUCACUGGACCAUAACUGACGCUGAGGCGCGAAAGCUAGGGGAGCAAACAGG